GCAGCAUCUCUCUCUCUCUCAUUUUAAUACUGCUCGCCGCUUUCGUCACGACAGCGGAGAAAAUCUUCUCGGAAUCCCGAAAUCACUCGACGGGGAAGACGCUGACGAUGCCUUGCUUGCUCGACCGGCUCCCGGGAAUCUCGCCGCCGCUCCUCCGCGACUGCCGGCGUUGACCCUUUUUUGCUCCGGCGGCGGCGGCGGAAUCGAGCGCCGGUUGAGGGCAUGCACGGUUUUGUAUCAAGCUUAGAGGCUACAAACUAAUGAGUUGUUUCCCAAUGGAUUAUAAAUUUCAUUCAAUGUGUCAGUUGGAAACAAGAAAGUUGCUAUGGCUUCUGGGAGCAUCAUUUGCUAUUGUUCUAUUUCUUCAGUCUGUCGAACUUCCACAUGGGAAUGUCCUGGCAUCUCUAUUUUCUGCAAGCAAGGUUCCGUUAGAAGGGGAUAUUGUCAAUGUGGAAGAAUCACCAAUUAUAUCGGAUAUAUCAGGUAACAAGACACUUUCAAAUAACUCGACACAACUACUGCCUCUAGCAUUCAUGAAAGAGUGGAUGACAAUGGCUUUAAAGAGAGAGGCUCAAUUUUGGAUGAUGGCACUGUACCAAAGAGUAAUACAGUUUCCAAUGAAUCUUAUGGUGUAAAUAACUAUACAACUGAUGAUGAAAAGUCAUCAAUGGAGAAUCUAGUGGAGGUAAAUGGAACUACCGCGCCUCCAGGUGCCAAUAAAUCAAUUGGUGGACAUGCAUCAGAGGAAGCUAUGGUGCCUGAGAGUAAUGGAAGCUUUCUCUAAAUAGUUCAGCUAUGUACAGCGACUCAUCAGCUGCCAACAAGAAGAACAAUGUCGGAAUACCUGAACAUGGUGACAACUCAGUCAGUUACAAACCUCCCUCACCUGCAAUUCCACCUGUAGAUUCAUCUCCAAACUCAACCUCAUCAAUAAAAGAAGACCCAAAUUUGAUGAUUUCCAUUCCAUCACCUGUUUUUGAUACUUCCUCAAACGAAAUAUACUCACCUCCAGUUCAUAAGCCAGAAGACAAGUCUAACCAAAUGCAGGGCGAUGUCUCCUCAUUAAAUCACAGUUCUCCUACCACCACCACCCAUGAUAGGCAUGAAACACCUCAGGCACAAAAAUCAGCAGUAAUUACAAUAGCAGAGAUGAAUGAUUUGUUGCUUCAGAGCCGUGUUGCGUACCGGUCAAUGAAGCCACGGUGGUCUUCUGUAGUUGAUCAAGAAUUGUUAAAAGCAAAAUUGCAAAUUGAGAAUGCUCCCAUCAUGAGUGACCUGAGCCUUUACGCCCCUCUUUAUCGAAAUGUUUCCAUGUUCAAAAGGAGCUAUGAAUUAAUGGAAGAGAUGCUCAAAGUAUACAUUUACAAAGAAGGACAAAAACCAAUUUUACAUCAACCAGUGCUCAAGGGAAUAUAUGCUUCUGAAGGAUGGUUUAUGAAGCUACUGGAAGCAAACAAGAAAUUCGUCACUAAGAAUGCUAGAAACGCCCACCUGUUUUACUUGCCAUUCAGUUCUCGGAUGCUUGAGGAAACCUUGUAUGUCCCAAUUCCCACAGUAGUAAGAACCUUAUACAAUUUUUGAGAAAUUAUUUGGCUGUUAUCAAGGGAAAGCACCCAUUCUGGAAUAGAACUGGAGGAGCAGACCAUUUCCUCGUAGCUUGCCACGACUGGGCCCCAUCUGAAACAAGGAGAAUUAUGGCCAGUUGCAUAAGGGCGCUCUGCAAUGCUGAUGUUAAAGAAGGCUUCGUUUUCGGUAAGGAUGUCUCACUACCAGAAACCUAUGUGCGGUCAGCUCAGAAACCUCUCAGAAAUGUUGGAGGCAAACCACCAUCUCAGAGGUCAAUCCUAGCUUUCUUUGCUGGGAACAUGCAUGGAUAUGUUAGGCCGAUUCUAUUACAGCAUUGGGGCAACAAAGAUCCAGACAUGAGGAUAUUCGGUCCCAUGCCCCACACCAAGGGUAAUAUGAACUACAUUCAGCACAUGAGAAGCAGCAAAUACUGCAUAUGUGCGAAAGGUUACGAAGUAAACAGUCCUCGAGUUGUGGAAGCCAUCUUCUAUGAGUGCGUGCCCGUGAUCAUAUCCGACAAUUUUGUGCCCCCAUUUUUUGAGACUCUGAACUGGGAAUCCUUUGCCGUUUUUGUACUGGAGAAGGACAUCCCGAACUUGAAGGACAUACUCCUCUCCAUCCCAGAGAAAAGAUUCCGGCAGAUGCAGAUGCGGGUCAAGAAGGUACAGCAGCAUUUCCUUUGGCACAGGAAGCCGGUUAAGUACGACAUCUUUCACAUGAUACUCCACUCGAUUUGGUUCAACAGGGUAUUUCAAAUUAACCCCAGGUAGAUAUGGUAAACAGGAAGAUGUAGAUAAGUGGUUCAGGUAGUGGCUUUUCGCGAGAAAUGUAUACUGUACAGACACCCGUCCUCUAUUUCCUUCUCCAUUGUUUACCAGUUAUUCAGUUAUCAGCUGCAUUUGUGCACGAGUAUACUUGCACAUCUGAGAACCAUUCAUGUGCAGCAAGGGUUGCUGCUGCCAGUGGGAGUAUCCACAAAUAAAGAUCAUUCAUUUUCAUGCCCGGUCGAUGUAAACACCGAAGGGUUCUCUUGUCGAUACAUGCCCGUGUGCGUAUCGGACCUAGUUUAAUGAUGAAUGAACUGCACAUCGGCGAAAGCCGAAACAGAACCAUACGAGGAAAUGUGCAGAAGGAGCAUUCUGGUCAUGUGUUAUGUUGCAAGAGCAAAAGAAGCGGUGUGGUUUUAGUACCAAGCCGGUGAUCUGUUCCUUAGAGAAAAGCAUGGGAGGAAAGCAAAUGGAGGAUGAAUGCUUUAUUCUGUGCUUUGAUUUUUGGGUCAAAUCUUUAUUCUGUGCUUUUCAA